rnacentral:rRNA from 1 species
UACGAAGGGGGCUAGCGUUGUUCGGAAUCACUGGGCGUAAAGGGUGCGUAGGCUGCACGGUAAGUCAGAGGUGAAAUCCCGGAGCUCAACUUCGGAAUUGCCUCCGAUACUGCCGUGCUUGAGGACUGGAGAGGAGAUUGGAAUUCACAGUGGAGCAGUGAAAUGCGUAGAUAUUGUGAGGAACACUAGUGGCGAAGGCGAAUCUCUGGACAGUUCCUGACGCUGAGGCACGAAGGCCAGGGGAGCAAACGGG